rnacentral:hammerhead_ribozyme from 1 species
ACUCAGCUGACGAGUCCCAAAUAGGACGAAACGCGCGUCGAAUUGGAU